GCCUGUGGCUGCAUCUGAAAUGGCUGCAUUCAUCAACGACUCCCAGCCCCAGGCUUGGAAACCAAGUUCCAAGUACAUAUUUCACACAAGGUGCUAAAGUGGUGAACAGUUCUGGAGCAGUCUGAUGGCCCAAGUUGAAGCCCAGGCACCCCAGCUUGAUGCGAAGCAUCCAUUGUUCUCCAAGGAGAAGGCACAUCAAGGUAACUGAGAUGCUGGGAUUCUGGGAAGCAGCGUCCACAGAGCAUAAAGAAUGCUGCCCCUGCAAGAUCCAGAGGAGGCCUUGCCACAGCCAUCAGAAGGGGACAUGGGUGCCCUACCACACAGCUGUCCCUGCUACAGCACAUAAACAGAAUUGAAGAGCCAUUGUGUGCCAAGCUGUACUAAGUUAAGAGGGCACAGCAACCAUGAAACAUGCCUGGGAGUCUGCAUGCUGUGCUCACUGUGACUUCUCAGAGGCUGCUACUUGGUAAACGGGACCUUGCUGAAGGUGACAGUCCUCAUGGCUCGCUACAGUUCCUCUCUACUGUGCUCAGGGGCUGCCUUGCCCCUCAGGCCCCUGGGCAAGCCGGGCCAGCUGUCUGGGCUUCCCUUGUCUCAUCUCUGAAGAGGAGAUGCACCUGCUGACGGUGUGGCGUGACUGCAUUAGGUGCAGGUGUGUUUGGGAUGCAGCAGUGGUGCCGGGUUACAGGGAGCACUCAGCCGGUAGCACGUAGGAGUAGGAUGCCUGGUGACAUAAGGACGGAAGGGUCAGUGGUAAGCCCUGAGGUGUCAUUAGAAUAUGAUGGGAGGAGUGGCCCUUGCAUUGGCGGCUAUUUCCUGCUCAGUUCCUCAGAAGCCCUGGCUUGUCAUGCUCUGCUCAGUAAAUAUUUAGAAGUGGUUGCCUGGCAUCCUGGCUCCCAGCCAAGAAAGCUCCGAGGAAGCGCCUCGAGGAGAGGGCAGUGGACCUGCAGAAGCCGCUCUCUGAGUUGGUGCGGAAGGAGGAGGGGGCUGCACAGGCCAGAAACUGGCCAGGACCAGAGGCAGGCAGGGCUGAGUCUCAGGCAGGAUGAGUGGCAGCGGGGAAGGCUGUGACAGGGAAGGCCUGCACAUGUGCCGUUCCUUCCAGCGUCACCAGUUACCACUGCCACUGCUGGUUCAUGGCGCUUGGAGACAAGAUGAACAUUCUGGCUAAAUUUGCCUUGCUCAGAGGGCUUUUUCUGAGAUUACAUAGGUUGCCUCUGGUCUGUCCACCCAUAUCUGGCCUUGAACCAGGCAUGAAGCUAUUUCCCCUCUUAUCAUUUCUGUUUUCUCAUCUGAUAAAUGUCAGUGAUAACAUGUACCUCCUAGGGGUUGUUAGAAGGGCUGCAGCCAGAGCUCUUGGCAGGUGCUGGAUAUUAUUUAUUGCUUCCUUCUAUCCUGACCUGAUUCCUACAGAGUGUUAAAUAAGUCCCUUCCACAGUACUUUGAGUGGUGAUUUUAAAAUUGGAAUUUUACCAUAGUAAAC